rnacentral:lncRNA from 1 species
GGCAGAUAAAACAUACUAUAGCAUUAACUAUAAACUGAACGUCUAUUCUCAUCAAAACGGUGCUGCACUGCUCUGCUCCGAGGUACCUCAGCGCUUCCCGCCAAAACGGUGCUGCACCGCCCCGCUCUGAGGUACCUCAGUACUUCCCGCCGAAACGCUGCAGCUGAGCGUGAGCUGUGCUGUGCUCCCUGAGGCACCUCUGUGUCUCCUGACUGAACGCUGCUGUUGACCCCUCGGAGGCAUUUCUAGCACUGUUGCCCUGUCGAGGCUUGGUCUUACCUCUGUUUCCCGAGCAACGCCCAGCACUUAGAAGCAGCCCAGCACUGCCCCUACACUAAUUUCUCCCAUGCAGGCCUGUGUGCCUGCACAACUGUGUCACUAAGGAGUGUGAUGGCCGUCCCGAGAGCUCACAGACAUUCAUCAGAGGGAGAAAGCCACCAGGUCCUGCACAAGGCGUACAUCUUCCCUGUUGCUCGAACCUGGCAAGCGCAGACCUGAGAAUUAAAGAGAACAGUUGCUGGGAAAACAAACGGAUGCCUCUUGAGUUCACUCCUCUGAAACAUAAGCCUGUAAACAUCCGUAACCUCUGCCUUGCAAGCCAUUCUCGCACUGAAGUCCAUGAGCUGUUUGCUUUGAACAAAGAUUUUGAAUACCGUACUUUUCUGAAAAGCCAAAAGAAGUUGGGCUAACAGAUUUCCUAAUGGAUCUGUCUCCAUUAUCAAACAUUGGUCAUCACAUCAGCUUGAGACCUGC